AUAAUAUAAACACGUAUUCGAAUAUAUAUAAUCGCCGCCACAAGAGAAGAGCCCUGCGUCAUCAUCUACAAGCGUGUGAUUUAAGAUUUAAAAUCAAAGUCAAAAUAGUUCCGUAAUAAUCAAUAUUAAAGUUGUUGAAAAAUGUACUAGAUGGCGUAGUUUCGCAAAGGUUUAAAAAGAGCAACAGCAAAUCCCAAUUCAGUUGUUUACUUGUCAAAUUUAGUUAUUAGGUAGGGGAAAGAAAACAGCUUAUUUAUACAAAAUCGAAGAAAACUUUAGACGUUUUGGUGUAAUUACUGUAUCAAUUCAAAAGGUGAGCCAUAAGCUUCGUUGUUUUAUCAUAUAACAGUUAGAAAUUAAUUUUGUAGGUUAUAUCAUUCUAAAUGGGAAAACUGCUAGCAGAAUUAGUAAUUACGGAGGUAAUUACUCAAAUUACACCUAGAAUCUAACAACAACUUAUGCAAGGUGACUGGAUGAAAUGUGAAGUUUUAUACUAUAAGAGCCAUGCAACAUUUGUAGGUACAGAAAAAUUAUAAUUCAAUACAUAUCCUUAUACCAA